UNGCAUAGCGGUGGAUUUCUAAGAUGCU
rnacentral:piRNA from 1 species